rnacentral:misc_RNA from 1 species
AACGCACAUUGCGCCCUUUGGUAUUCCGAAGGGCAUGCCUGUUCGAGCGUCAUUUCACCACUCAAGCCUGGCUUGGUAUUGGGCGUCGCGGUUUUCCGCGCGCCUUAAAGUCUUCCGGCUGAGCUGUCCGUCUCUAAGCGUUGUGGAUUUUUCAAUUCGCUUCGGAGUGCGGGUGGCCGCGGCCGUUAAAUCUUUAUUCAAAGGUUGACCUCGGAUCAGGUAGGGAUACCCGCUGAACUUAA